GCGGGAGUGGUGGAAUUGGUAGACACGCUGGAUUUAGGUUCCAGUGUCGCAAGAUGUGAGAGUUCGAGUCUCUCCUUCCGCACCA
rnacentral:tRNA from 1 species